rfam:Mycobacterium lacus strain DSM 44577 contig_146, whole genome shotgun sequence.
UUGCCGGUGAGAGUCCGGUCCGGAUAAUGACCAAGCAGCCCGGUAGCUGGUGGCCGGCGGAAAGGGAGACCCCACCGUCGAAGUGUCAUGACAAAGCCGCUUUGGGCGGCGAGCAAGCAACCCGUCCGUACGAUGA